rnacentral:rRNA from 1 species
GAUGAACGCUGGCGGCGUGCCUAACACAUGCAAGUCGAGCGGACGGACGAUAAGCUUGCUGCUUUGAUGUUAGCGGCGGGCGGGUGUGUAACGCGUGUAUCAUCUACCUAUAAUUCUGGUAUAAUUUCGGGACACCGGCUCUUAUCCCGUAUAAUAUUUUGCUCCGCGGUGUUCGAUGGAGAGUUACGGCCUUUCGGUCUCUUAUAGAUGCAUCCGCGCUUGAUGAGCUAGUAGGUAAGGUAACGGCUUACCAAGGGUAGGAGGCGUGGCCGACGUGAGAGGCUGAUCGGCCACAUUGGAAGGGAGACACGGUCCAGACUCCUACGGGAGGCAGCAGUCGGGAAUCUUCGGCAAUGGGCGAAAGCCUGACGGAGCAACGCCGAGUGUGUGAUGAAGGCCUUCGGACCGUAAAAACCUGUUAUUAGGGAAGAACAGAUGUGGAAGUAGAUGUGGACAGCUUGACGGUACCUAAUAAAAAAGCAACGGCUAACUACGUG